UGGGGAAUAUUGCACAAUGGAGGGAACUCUGAUGCAGCGACGCCGCGUGAGUGAUGAAGGAAUUCGUUUCGUAAAACUCUGUUCUAUGGGAAGAAAAGGACUGUACCAUAGGAGAAAGCUCCGGCUAAAUACGUGCCAGCAGCCGCGGUAAUACGUAUGGAGCGAGCGUUGUCCGGAAUUAUUGGGCGUAAAGGGUGCGCAGGCGGCUUUACAAGUUGGAUGUGAAAUAUUGUGGCUCAACCACAAACGUGCAUCCAAAACUGCAAAGCUUGAGUUAAGGAGAGGUAAGUGGAAUUCCUGGUGUAGCGGUGGAAUGCGUAGAUAUCAGGAGGAAUACCGGUGGCGAAGGCGACUGACUGGACUUAAACUGACGCUCAGGCACGAAAGCGUGGGGAGCAAACAGG
rnacentral:rRNA from 1 species